CACGUGAGCAACCUACCCUUGACACUGGGAUAACAGUUGGAAACAGCUGCUAAUACCGGAUACGAACUCAGCAGGCAUCUGCCGAGUUGGAAAGCUCCGACGGUCAAGGAUGGGCUCGCGGCCUAUCAGCUUGUUGGUGAGGUAACGGCUCACCAAGGCGACGACGGGUAGCCGGCCUGAGAGGGCGACCGGCCACACUGGGACUGAGAUACGGCCCAGACUCCUACGGGAGGCAGCAGUGGGGAAUAUUGCGCAAUGGGCGAAAGCCUGACGCAGCAGCGCCGCGUGCGGGAUGACGGCCUUCGGGUUGUAAACCGCUUUCAGCAGGGACGAAACUGACGGUACCUGCAGAAGAAGCACCGGCGAACUACGUG
rnacentral:rRNA from 1 species